CCUACGGGUGGCAGCAGUGGGGGAUAUUGCACAAUGGGGGAAACCCUGAUGCAGCGACGCCGCGUGAGCGAUGAAGUAUUUCGGUAUGUAAAGCUCUAUCAGCAGGGGAGUAAAUGACGGUACCUGACUAAGAAGCUCCGGCUAACUACGUGCCAGCAGCCGCGGUAAUACGUAGGGGGCAAGCGUUAUACGGAUUUACUGGGGGUAAAGGGAGCGUAGACGGACGGUCAAGUCUGAUGUGAAAGGCAAGGGCUCAACGCUAGGACUGCGUUUGAAACUGUGCUGCUGGAGUGUCGGAGAGGCAAGUGGAAUUCCUAGUGUAGCGGUGAAAUGCGUAGAUAUUAGGAGGAACACCAGUGGCGAAGGCAGCUUGCUGGACGAUGACUGACGUUGAGGCUCGAAAGCGUGGGGAGCAAACAGGAUUAGAUACCCUUGUAGUC
rnacentral:rRNA from 1 species